rnacentral:rRNA from 1 species
UAAUACCGGAUGGUUGUUUGAACCGCAAGGUUCAAACAUAAAAGGUGGCUUCGGCUACCACUUACAGAUGGACCCGCGGCGCAAUAGCUAGUUGGUGAGGUAACGGCUCACCAAGGCAACGAUGCGUAGCCGACCUGAGAGGGUGAUCGGCCACACUGGGACUGAGACACGGCCCAGACUCCUACGGGAGGCAGCAGUAGGGAAUCUUCCGCAAUGGACGAAAGUCUGACGGAGCAACGCCGCGUGAGUGAUGAAGGUUUUCGGAUCGUAAAGCUCUGUUGUUAGGGAAGAACAAGUACCGUUCGAAUAGGGCGGUACCUUGACGGUACCUAACCAGAAAGCCACGGCUAACUACGUGCCAGCAGCCGCGGUAAUACGUAGGUGGCAAGCGUUGUCCGGAAUUAUUGGGCGUAAAGGGCUCGCAGGCGGUUUCUUAAGUCUGAUGUGAAAGCCCCCGGCUCAACCGGGGAGGGUCAUUGGAAACUGGGGAACUUGAGUGCAGAAGAGGAGAGUGGAAUUCCACGUGUAGCGGUGAAAUGCGUAGAGAUGUGGAGGAACACCAGUGGCGAAGGCGACUCUCUGGUCUGUAACUGACGCUGAGGAGCGAAAGCGUGGGGAGCGAACAGGAUUAGAUACCCUGGUAGUCCACGCCGUAAACGAUGAGUGCUAAGUGUUAGGGGGUUUCCGCCCCUUAGUGCUGCAGCUAACGCAUUAAGCACUCCGCCUGGGGAGUACGGUCGCAAGACUGAAACUCAAAGGAAUUGACGGGGGCCCGCACAAGCGGUGGAGCAUGUGGUUUAAUUCGAAGCAACGCGAAGAACCUUACCAGGUCUUGACAUCCUCUGACAAUCCUAGAGAUAGGACGUCCCCUUCGGGGGCAGAGUGACAGGUGGUGCAUGGUUGUCGUCAGCUCGUGUCGUGAGAUGUUGGGUUAAGUCCCGCAACGAGCGCAACCCUUGAUCUUAGUUGCCAGCAUUCAGUUGGGCACUCUAAGGUGACUGCCGGUGACAAACCGGAGGA